AAGCUCCAAGGAUAGGUCAUCUUCAGGAAGAAGAUUCGAUUGUUCACUCAGGACGAACUUUCGGCAAGGAAUGCAAAAGUGUGUUAACGAAAAAUUUAGCUAGGAUGGUUAGAGUUUGAGUUAACAGGCACACUUCAAGGACCGAAAUACCCUAUCAGGAUGAUAGGUCAAGGACACCGCUUAAGGAAUAAGCGAUGGGAGUUAGCGAGGAAGGCUAACGGGCCGGAGUGCCGAGGACACCGCUAGGAUGGCGAUGAAACGGACUAAGCUGAAGGAUUCAGCGUACUAUCAAGGAAUAGAUGCAGGGAGCACCUAUUAGUAGCCGGAUUGCUGCGAGUAAGAAAUGAAACCCCACUAGUUAUCUAGUGGGGUUUUUCUUUUCU
rnacentral:other from 1 species